AGUUCGAUCAUGGCUCAGAUUGAACGCUGGCGGGAUGCUUUACGCAAGUCGAACGGCAGCACGGACUUCGGUCUGGUGGCGAGUGGCGAACGGGUGAGCAAUGUAUCGGAACGUGCCUAGUAGCGGGGGAUAACUACGCGAAAGCGUAGCUAAUACCGCAUACGCCCUUCGGGGGAAAGCGGGGGACCUUCGGGCCUCGCACUAUUAGAGCGGCCGAUAUCGGAUUAGCUAGUUGGUGGGUAACGGCUCACCAUGACGAUCCGUAGCUGGUUUGAGGACGACCAGCCACACUGACCACAUGGCCCAGACUCCUACGGAGGCAGCAGGGAAUUUUGGACAAUGGGGAAACCCUGAUCCAGCCAUCCCGCGUAAAAGGGGCGAAGGCCUUCGGGUUGUAAAGCACUUUUGGCAGAGAAACGGCACGGGAUAAUACCCCGUGCAACUGAUUGGGUACCCGCAGAAUAAGCACCGCUUAACGCCGCCAGCAGCCGCGGUAAUACGCAGGGUGCAAGCGUUAAUCGGAAUUACUGGGCGUAAAGCGUGCGCAGGCGGUUCGGAAAGAAAGAUGAAAUCCCAGAGCUUAACUUCGAAACUGCAUUUUUAACUACCGAGCUAGAGUGUGUCAGAGUGGGAGGUGGAAUUCGCGUGUAGCAGUGAAUGCGAGAUAUGCGAGGAACACCCGAUGGCGAAGGCAGCCUCCUGGGAUAACACUGACGCUCAUGCACGAAAGCGGGGAGCAAACAGGAUUAGAUACCCUGGUAGUCCACGCCCUAAACGAUGUCAACUAGCUGUUGGGGCCUUCGGGCCUUAUGUAGCGCAGCUAACGCGUGAAGUUGACCGCCUGGGGAGUACGGUCGCAAGAUUGGGGAAACCUCAAAGAAUUGACGGGACCCGGGCACAAGCGGUGGAUGAUGUGGAUUAAUUCGAUGCAACGCGAAAAACCUUACCUACCCUUGACAUGUCUGGAAUCCCGAAAGGAGAUUUUGGGAGUGCUCGCAAGAGGAACGGAACACAGGUGCUGCAUGGCUGUCGCCAGCUCGUGUCGUGAGAUGUUGGGUUAAGUCCCGCAACGAGCGCAACUCCUUGCCGCUAUUGCUACGAAAGGGCAAUUUUAAUGCGGAGACUGCCAGAGCAAAACCGGAUAGUGGGAUGACGUCAAGUCCUCAUGGCCCUUAUGUGUAGGGCUUCACACGUCAUACAAUGGUCGGGACAGGGUCGCUAACCCGCGAGGGAGCAAUCCCAGAAACCUGAUCAGUCCGGAUCGCAGUUCGCAACCUGACUGCGUGAAGUCGGAAUCGCUAGUAAUCGCGGAUCAGCAUGUCGCGGUGAAUACACCCUGGCCCUGCAUACACACCGCCUGUCAUAAUCUAUGUGGAGCGGGGUUUACCAGAAGUAGUUAGCUUAAUCCGUAAGGAGGGCGAUUACCAUGGUAGGAUUCAUGACUGGGGUGAAGUCGCAACAAGGUAA
rnacentral:rRNA from 1 species